CAGGCAUACAAAACUUGGCCGUGACCGGGACUACAAACGACUCGGCACGGUUGCGAUGGGACAGCCCCGUCUACCAGGGCGUUCUGAACUAUUAUAACGUCAGGUAUUGGACCGAAAUGGAUGACGGUAGGAAGAAGAGAGAAGUGGCUGAGAACAGAUACUCGUACGUACAACUGUACCCAGAGGAAUCUGCGCAGGCGCAAGCUGGCUACCCAGCGUACACCGCGAACAACGGAAAAGUCUCUGGGAUCGUGCCAAAUCUGUAUCCGGGAACAGUCUACAACUUUCAGGUCAGCCCAAAGGCGGUUCCAUACUCAGGGCCUUACACUACCACAGCACAGGGCAAGACACUGCCAAACGCCUUUUUAGCUGCAAGUCGUAUCG